rnacentral:rRNA from 1 species
AUGGACGAAAGUCUGACGGAGCAACGCCGCGUGAGUGAUGAAGGUUUUCGGAUCGUAAAGCUCUGUUGUUAGGGAAGAACAAGUACCGUUCGAAUAGGGCGGUACCUUGACGGUACCUAACCAGAAAGCCACGGCUAACUACGUGCCAGCAGCCGCGGUAAUACGUAGGUGGCAAGCGUUGUCCGGAAUUAUUGGGCGUAAAGGGCUCGCAGGCGGUUUCUUAAGUCUGAUGUGAAAGCCCCCGGCUCAACCGGGGAGGGUCAUUGGAAACUGGGGAACUUGAGUGCAGAAGAGGAGAGUGGAAUUCCACGUGUAGCGGUGAAAUGCGUAAAGAUGUGGAGGAACACCAGUGGCGAAGGCGACUCUCUGGUCUGUAACUGACGCUGAGGAGCGAAAGCGUGGGGAGCGAACAGGAUUAGAUACCCUGGUAGUCCACGCCGUAAACGAUGAGUGCUAAGUGUUAGGGGGUUUCCGCCCCUUAGUGCUGCAGCUAACGCAUUAAGCACUCCGCCUGGGGAGUACGGUCGCAAGACUGAAACUCAAAGAAUUUUGACGGA